GAUGAACGCUGGCGGCGUGCCUAAUACAUGCAAGUCGAGCGAACGGACGAGAAGCUUGCUUCUCUGAUGUUAGCGGCGGACGGGUGAGUAACACGUGGAUAACCUACCUGUAAGACUGGGAUAACUUCGGGAAACCGGAUCUAAUACCGGAUGAUAUUUUGAACCGCAUGGUUCAAAAGUGAAAGACGGUCUUGCUGUCACUUAUAGAUGGAUCCGCGCUGCAUUAGCUAGUUGGUAAGGUAACGGCUUACCAAGGCAACGAUGCAUAGCCGACCUGAGAGGGUGAUCGGCCACACUGGAACUGAGACACGGUCCAGACUCCUACGGGAGGCAGCAGUAGGGAAUCUUCCGCAAUGGGCGAAAGCCUGACGGAGCAACGCCGCGUGAGUGAUGAAGGUCUUCGGAUCGUAAAACUCUGUUAUUAGGGAAGAACAUAUGUGUAAGUAACUGUGCACAUCUUGACAGUACCUAAUCAGAAAGCCACGGCUAACUACGUG
rnacentral:rRNA from 1 species